UUAUCUUGGCAGAAUAGUGCUUUAAAUUUAGAAUUUAAAUAUGUAUGAAGGCAUACAGGUAAUA
rnacentral:tRNA from 1 species